rnacentral:lncRNA from 1 species
AAGCCACAAGGCCAUCUCAUAAACAGCAAGGGGUUACAUAAAGCCAUGAGAAUCAGGCGAGAGCAUCAUCAGGGGAUAGUUCAGAGUCCGCCUGCCAUGGUGAGUGAGCCAUAAGACAGCAAUAGAAAUGGCUCAGACUGCAGCCAGUGCUGAGAGCAGAGCCAGCAGCCCCAGCAUAUUCUCCAGCAGCUCUGUAGCUGCAGUCUCAGGGAACAAAGAGCUGCUCAGCAUCUGACUUAAAAUAUCAGACUACUAACCUUGGAAGCCUAGCAAGGGCUAAGCAGGAUAAAUACAAAGAAAACUACAUCAAGUCACAUCAUAAUCAAAUUGCUGAGACCCAGUGAUAAAGAGAAAAGUUUGAAAGCACCGUAAGAAAGCGGCUGUGCACAUCGAAGAACCAUGAUAGGAAUGAUCGCCGACAUCCCGUCAGAACCAAUGCCAGCCAAAAGACAAAGAAGUGGCGGCUCUAACACACUGAAGUAAUAUCUACCCAGAGUCUGCAUUUUCCCAAGUGGUCCUCAGCUGAGGGUAAAGUAAACUAAAGACAUUGCAGACAGCCAGAAAGUGAAGUUUGUCACCACCAAACCAGUGCAAGAAGUGCUGAAGGCUGGGGAGAGAAAACGCGAGGCAGAACCCAGCUCUCCCCAGGGGAGAAGCCUCAAGCUGCUGCCCGUGCCUGGCACCUGCAUAGAAUGAGCCAACUGGAGGGAGGGAGCAAGGCCUUGGGCUGGGGUGGGCAGUGGGAGGGCAGGCUGAGAUAAACAGUUUUUAGGGUGAUGGUUUGAAUUCAUGUUGGGAACAAUAAUUUAACUGGUAGUUAGGUGAAUUAUCUCCCCAAAGGGAAAACCUUCAUCCUUUCUUGCUACAUCCCCUUAAAAGUUGGCCAAGUGUACUUCACUAUUAUAUAUUAAAUUUUGUGAAAAAAAGUG